rnacentral:rRNA from 1 species
UACGUAGGGGGCUAGCGUUGUCCGGAAUCAUUGGGCGUAAAGAGCGUGUAGGCGGCCCGGUAAGUCCGCUGUAAAAGUCAAAGGCUCAACCUUUGAAUGUCAGUGGAUACUGCCGGGCUAGAGUCCGGAAGAGGCGAGUGGAACUCCUGGUGUAGCGGUGGAAUGCGCAGAUAUCAGGAAGAACACCAACGGCGAAGGCAGCUCGCUGGGACGGUACUGACGCUGAGGAGCGAAAGCGUGGGGAGCAAACAGG